rnacentral:rRNA from 1 species
GGGAGCAAACAGGGAUUAGAUACCCUGGUAGUCCACGCCGUAAACGAUGUCGACUUGGAGGUUGUGCCCUUGAGGCGUGGCUUCUCGGAGCUAACGCGUUAAGUCGACCGCCUGGGGAGUACGGCCGCAAGGUUAAAACUCAAAUGAAUUGACGGGGGCCCGCACAAGCGGUGGAGCAUGUGGUUUAAUUCGAUGCAACGCGAAGAACCUUACCUGGCCUUGACAUCCAGAGAACUUAGCAGAGAUGCUUUGGUGCCUUCGGGAACUCUGAGACAGGUGCUGCAUGGCUGUCGUCAGCUCGUGUUGUGAAAUGUUGGGUUAAGUCCCGCAACGAGCGCAACCCUUAUCCUUUGUUGCCAGCGGCUCGGCCGGGAACUCAAAGGAGACUGCCGGUGAUAAACCGGAGGAAGGUGGGGAUGACGUCAAGUCAUCAUGGCCCUUACGGCCAGGGCUACACACGUGCUACAAUGGCGCAUACAAAGAGAAGCGACCUCGCGAGAGCAAGCGGACCUCAUAAAGUGCGUCGUAGUCCGGAUUGGAGUCUGCAACUCGACUCCAUGAAGUCGGAAUCGCUAGUAAUCGUAGAUCAGAAUGCUACGGUGAAUACGUUCCCGGGCCUUGUACACACCGCCCGUCACACCAUGGGAGUGGGUUGCAAAAGAAGUAGGU